UUGAGCCGUAUGAUUGGAAACUUUCACGUACGGUUCUUAGGGGGGAAGGAGGCAGUAAUGCCUCUGACCUACCCGGC
rnacentral:ncRNA from 1 species